rnacentral:lncRNA from 1 species
UCUUCCCCUGUCUCAGCCGGCAACCUCGUCCCAUGUCCACUGUAAUGAACAACGAGAACAUCGCCAGAUCUAGCCGACUCAACUAGAUUCAACAACGCACGUCGGAUGUUCUUGCCUGUAGGUUUGGUGGAAGAGUUGUCGGUAUCGAUCAGCUCAGUGAUGUUUCUCUCGGAGAAACCGAACCGAUCGACUAGGCAUUUGUGCAUCCUCUUAACAUCGUUGACGCAUCGUUGACGCAGCCUCGUAGCUCCGCCUUGGUUCCAGGGUAGUUGAUUCCGAUCAAUACUGCUUUCUUCGCCAUCGAUGAUACCUCAAAAGGUUCGCUUCACAAAAUAAUUUUGUUUUUGAUUUUGAUCGUGAGCUGUUUUUCCUUUUUUAAAGAUGAUGAUCGUGAGCUGUUACAAUACAUCUCGUCGUUCUCCAUGGUUUUAUAGUAACGUUUAUUGCUUUUUCUUUGGUCAAGAUACUAAUGUUGAUUACUAUUAUAAAUUAAAGAAGCCUUUAAUUAAUAACGUUCCAUAAAAGAAUAAAGAUAACUUUUAUCAAAUUUUUAAUAUGAACUAUUGGGGAUGAUUGGAAAGAGCUUUAGCUUUAUAUUUUUGCUUUAGAAAUAAAUCUGUAGAUUUUUUUUGCUGUGGGUGUAGAUAAUUUUGAUGUCCAAUAUUAGCUGUAUGCUUAAAAAGAUUCAAAAACGUACAUAUAAAUAUUCUAAAGCAAAAAUUAAGUGCUCUAGAUUUUCCACGGCUAAAAAUAAAUAAAAAGGAAAGAAAAAUCUGUAACUUUAAAAAAAAUUUACAAAGCAUGAUUGGCAAAAUUUUGGACUGUAGAAAUAAUUUAGGUUGUAGAGAAAUCUUACAUCACUUCUAAAACACUUGCCAAUCAACCCCAUUAUUUAUUUAAUCACGAUUCCAUUCUGUAUAUACUCACUCUGUUUCUAAGAGAUAAAUGUUCUUACAAAAUAUUAUUUCAAAAAAUAUAUGUUUUAUUUUUACUAAAUAUAUUUUAUUAGUUAAUAAUGAUAAAUUACAAACUUCAAAAAAACACUUCUUGAAAUCUUGUUGGUGUAAAAUAAUUGGAAAUUGAUAAACAUAAAAUAAUAGAUUUAAUAACAAAAUUUAAUAUGUGUAAAAACAUAUAAACUUACAUCAUUUAGGAACACAUGGAGUAUUAUAUUACGUAAAUUAGCCUUAUAAUGUAAUUAAAUAUAUCAUAUUUGAGAUAUAAACUAUAUUCUAAUUAUUCAAAUAUAUCCAAAAUGCCACCAAUAUUAUUAUUGGUUUAACCGUUUAGAGAAGAAAAGUAAACGUCCAUGGCUUUGUUCUUUCUUCCAAAUAAAAAGCUUAAAACGUACAAACAUUGUAUAGAUUGUGAGGAAUGGUAUGGCAAGACUUUUACGCAUCUUAAUUGUGAGAAAUAAAUAAUUGGGAACUGGCUUGGCUUGUUGUUGUUGUGCACACCAUCUCUUGUAGGCACGAGCAAUUCCAUGUUAUAUCAUUGAUCAGUUAGCAUUAUCAACGUAUGUUUCAACACGUUACGGAUUUCCUUAUCAGCAAAUAAAUGGUUGAUUUCUUGUGACACAAGUCAGAUUUUAACCAAAAAAAACUCAGGAAAAAUAGGAUAACCCCAAAAUAAAUAACAGCUUAAAAGAUUGUAUGGUAAAUGUCAAUCUACAAAACAAAAGCUUAUACAUUAUUCAAAUUCACUUAAAAAAAAAAAAAGGAAAAAAGAAAUAAAGAUUGGCAAGACCGUCUUAGUUUUAUUUUUUAACACUAGAUAAUUAUGAUAUUACAACUAUGUGAAAUAUUACAGACGAUUCUACUGCCGACAAUUCUACCUGCCGUUCGAAGAUUCACGUCUGACUACAUCACUUGAGCCGUCCUAUGGGAUCUAUGCUUGACGGGUACUGCUUGCGCCAUGCUGCAGAUAUUUUGUAAGUCUUUUCUCCUUUAAUUCGUAUAAUUCCGCCUUAUCCGGGAAUUGAAACUCAGACCUCUUAGUGUAAUGAGCCCCUGGUGAAACCAAACCGUCUUAGUUAUUUUAUCAAUUCUUUGAUAAUUCUGAACUUUAUAGGCUUAAUAUUUUCUUAGUCUUAGUAUCAGGCUUGUAUAUCACAUGGUAAAUUGGCAAGAAGAUGUAAGAUUAUUAUCUAACAAGAAACUUCCUCUGCUUGGGUCUUAAACGUUUCCUUAGUGGACAAAUAUGAUAUAUGCAUGUCCAAAACAUACAAAGUUAAGAAGUUAAAAGAAUAUUUUUCUCAGCAAGCACAGUUCUCAGAAAUAAUAUUUGAGAAUUUAAAUAAAAAUAGGUAAAAAAUUUAAAAUAACCAAUGGACAAUGAACGCUUGACAUUCAAAUCAAAGUUACAAUAACAUAACAACAAAGAAAUCAGAUAACUUAUUCAACACGUAACUCCACAUACUUUGUUGAGUACCAACCCUUAACAAAUAAACGGAGCAUUCACAUACUCAUCGCUACAAUACAGCCCCGGUCGUUGAGCAUAGCCCUGUUUCUUAAGAAGCUUUCUUGCUUUCAUAACAAGUUCCUUGUAUGUAAUCUCACCUUUUGUCUCCCCAAGUAUGAUCUGCACAGCAUUACUAAAUGCUCCAUAAGCCAUCUCAGGUUUCCCCACAGGACUUGCAUCCGCGGAAGUUUGAUCAGUUUGACAACCACUUAUGAGAAUACCAUUAUCAGCAAGAGAACCAUUGCUUGCACCUGCAUAGACAUCUUGCUUUCUCUCCACAUCUGUCUUCAUCGCAGGCUUCGCAUACUCUUCAUCAUUGUUCAGCUUGUGUUCAAGAAACUCUUGAGCUAGUUUCCCAACCAUUCCCAAUAUCCCACCUUCACUUUUGCCUUCUUGUAGCUUCUUUAGAAGCACUUUCAUGAACUUCUUCACCUUUGGAGAAGCAUCUUCUCCAAACACAUUGAAAAGUGUUGGUCUGAUUUUGCCAACUUCGAUGUCAUUGUUACCGGUGUCAUGCUUGAGGAUAUCGAUUAGGGUUUGUAGAGGCAGAGAUUUGUUCACAACAUGGACUUUUUCAUCAUUGUCUAGUUCAACCUCUUUAACCUUGGCUUCUUGUUUCUCAUCUUUGUGGUGAGGAAUGUGGAUCCCUUUAGAUUCAAACGCUUCUUCUACAGCCUCAGUCACCAAGUCUUUGAUUCCAAAUCUUGAAGAGGUUCCAGAGUCUUUCUUUGACUUCUUCUUAUCCUUCUUAUCCUUUUUAUCCUUCUUAUCAUUUUUAUCUUUCUUAUCCUUCUUUGUGCUCUCUCCUAUCUGCUCCUUAGCUUCAUCAAUGAGCCCACCACUGUGACAAGAGUCUGAGAUGAUUGUAAUCUGUGCAUCUUUUGGCACCUUCUUCACAAGCUCCCUGAACUCAUCAUCUGAGAAUAGAAUCACCACAUAAGAAUAUGCAUAUGAAAAAGAGUGAAUCUGAAGCUAUAUAGCCUAUAUGCAAAAUAUCUUCUUGAGCUGAAAGAAAAAUUGAUGAGAAAUUGCAUUUGAUUUUUUUUUAUUACUUAGGAGAGUCUGAAUCUUUAAUUGGUAUAUUACUUAGGGCGAGAUUCAUACAUGUAAUUUUUUUUUUGUAUCUGACUUUAACCAAAUAAAAACAUCAAAACCAUGCUUCAGUUCAUCCAGAUCUCAACCUGAGAUUGAAUCUGAAACCCUAAGCAAUUUAUUCCUUUAAUCAUCUGCUGAUAAAUUCGAGAAUACUUUGAUCCCAAGAAAGAUAAUGUUCAUGAAGCAAACCAAGUGGUAAUAAAAGGUUCUAUUGACCAAGACAGAACAGAGUCAAAGUCAACUACAAUCUAGUUUUGUCACUUACCGGUAAUAAGAUUCAUAUCGCAAGGAACAAUACACUCAUUAUAACCAGUAUCAUCAUCUUCCCCUGUCUCAGCCGGCAACCUCGUCCCAUGUCCACUGUAAUGAACAACGAGAACAUCGCCAGAUCUAGCCGACUCAACUAGAUUCAACAACGCACGUCGGAUGUUCUUGCCUGUAGGUUUGGUGGAAGAGUUGUCGGUAUCGAUCAGCUCAGUGAUGUUUCUCUCGGAGAAACCGAACCGAUCGACUAGGCAUUUGUGCAUCCUCUUAACAUCGUUGACGCAUCGUUGACGCAGCCUCG